rnacentral:rRNA from 1 species
AACAAACGCUGGCGGCGUGCCUAACACAUGCAAGUCGUACGAGAAAGUCGGCUUCGGCCGAUGAGUACAGUGGCGCACGGGUGAGUAACGCGUGGGUAACCUGCCCCCCGGUCAGGAAUAACCCGCCGAAAGGCGGGCUAAUACCCGAUAACACUGACGCUCUGCGGAGUGUCUUUCAAAGAAGGCCUCUGUUUACAAGCUUUCGCCGGAGGAUGAGCCCGCGUACCAUUAGCUAGUUGGCAGGGUAAUGGCCUACCAAGGCAACGAUGGUUAGCGGGUCUGAGAGGAUGGCCAGCCACACUGGAACUGAGACACGGUCCAGACUCCUACGGGAGGCAGCAGUGAGGAAUCUUGCGCAAUGGGGGAAACCCUGACGCAGCAACGCCGCGUGAGUGAAGAAGGCCUUCGGGUCGUAAAGCUCUGUCAGAUGGGAAGAAAUGGAUGGGGGCUAAUAUCGUCCAUCCUUGACGGUACCAUCAGAGGAAGCACCGGCUAACUCCGUGCCAGCAGCCGCAGUAAUAC